CCUUUCAAUGCAGCAGAAUUGGGAUGGUUGAGUAUCUUGCCUCUCCGUUCUGCCUGUAUUCUACCCUUGUUUGUCAUAUACUAUUAUUUCCUCGGCAGGCUUGCCUGCCGAGUGAAACCAUUUAUAACCUUUUUAAUUUUCAAUCAGCGUCUGAAAAAAAUUAAUAAUUA
rnacentral:misc_RNA from 1 species